GUACGGCGAGUGAAGAGGAAGAGCUCAAAGUUGGAACCUGUUUGGCCUAGCUAAACCGGAUUGUAGACUGUAGAAGUGUUUUCCAGGCAAGCCGAGUAAAUAAGUCCUUUGGAACAGGGCAUCAUAGAGGGUGAGAAUCCCGUCUUUGGCUUGAGCAUUUGCCUUUUGUGAUACGCUUUCAAAGAGUCAGGUUGUUUGGGAAUGCAGCCUAAAUUGGGUGGUAAAUCUCACCUAAAGCUAAAUAUUGGCGAGAAACCGAUAGCGAACAAGUACCGUGAGGGAAAGAUGAAAAGAACUUUGAAAAGAGAGUUAAACAGUAUGUGAAAUUGUUAAAAGGGAACCGUUUGGAGCCAGACUGGCUUGUCUGUAAUCAAUCUAGGCUUCGGCCUGGAUGCACUUGCAGGCUAUGCCUGCCAACGACAAUUUGACUUGAGGGAAAAAACUAAGGGAAAUGUGGCCCACUUGUGGGUGUUAUAGUCCCUUAGAAAAUACCUUGGGUUGGAUUGAGGAACGCAGCGAAUGCUUUUUGGCGAGUUUUCCAGGAAGGUUUUCUGAGGUACUACGGUAUCAAGGUUGAUCUUUUUGGUUAUACUUCUAUUCGCUUAGGUUGUUGGCUUAAUGACUCUAAAUGA
rnacentral:rRNA from 1 species